rnacentral:rRNA from 1 species
CUGGUUGAUCCUGCCAGUAGUCAUACGCUCGUCUCAAAGAUUAAGCCAUGCAUGUGUAAGUAUAAAUAGUUAACUUUGAAACUGCGAAUGGCUCAUUAUAUCAGUUAUAGUUUAUUUGAUGAAGAAUACUAAUUGGAUAACCGUAGUAAUUCUAGAGCUAAUACAUGUAUAAAGUCUUGUAGACUGCAUUUAUUAGAAUGAAAACCAUAGGUUUCGGCCUAUUCGUGAGUAAUAAUAACUAAUCAUAUCGUAUGCUUAAGUAACGAUGUGUCUUUCAAGUUUCUGCCCUAUCAGCUUUCGAUGGUAGUGUAUUGGACUACCAUGGCAGUAACGGGUAACGAAGAAUUUGGGUUCGAUUUCGGAGAGGGAGCCUGAGAGAUGGCUACCACAUCCAAGGAAGGCAGCAGGCGCGUAAAUUACCCAAUCCUGACACAGAGAGGUAGUGACAAUAAAUCACAAUGCGGAACAAUGUUUUGCAAUUGGAUUGAGAACAACGUACGAACCUUAUCGAUAAACAAUUGGAGGGCAAGUCUGGUG